rnacentral:tRNA from 1 species
GCUGGGAUGGCAGAAUCUUGGUAAUUGCCAAAGACCUAAGCUCUUUUCAUAGAGGUUCAAAUCCUCUUCUCAGCU